UGGCCGCGGGAUUCGAUUAAGCCAUGCGAGUCGAGAGGUUUCUGACCUCGGCGUACUGCUCAGUAACACGUGGACAAUCUGCCCUGGAGAGGAGGAUAUCCCCGGGAAACUGGGAUUAAUACUCCAUAGUUCGUCUUAACUGGAAUGUUAUUCGAACGAAAGAUCCGUCGCUCCAGGAUGAGUCUGCGGCCGAUUAGGUAGUUGUUGGGGUAACGGCCCAACAAGCCUUUCAUCGGUACGGGUUGUGGGAGCAAGAGCCCGGAGAUGGAUUCUGAGACACGAAUCCAGGCCCUACGGGGCGCAGCAGGCGCGAAAACUUUACCAUGCGGGCAACCGUGAUAAGGAAACCCCGAGUGCCAGCACAGGCUGGCUGUCCGCCAGUUUAAAUAACUGGUGAAGAAAGGGCCGGGCAAGACCGGUGCCAGCCGCCGCGGUAAUACCGGCGGCUCGAGUGGUGGCCGCUAUUACUGGGCUUAAAGGGUCCGUAGCUUGAUAACUGGGUCCCUUGAGAAAUCCGCCAGCUCAACUGGCGGGCGUUCAGGGGAAACUUGUUUUCUAGGGACCGGGAGAGGUGAGGGGUACUGCCGGGGUAGGAGUGAAAUCCUGUAAUCCCGGUGGGACCACCUAUGGCGAAGGCAUCUCACCAGAACGGGUCCGACAGUGAGGGACGAAAGCUGGGGGAGCAAACCGGAUUAGAUACCCGGGUAGUCCCAGCUGUAAACUAUGUGCGUUAGGUGUGUCAGUGACCACGUGUCACUGAGGUGCCGAAGGGAAACCGUGAAACGCACCGCCUGGGGAGUACGGUCGCAAGGCUGAAACUUAAAGGAAUUGGCGGGGGAGCAAAUCACUAGUGCGGCCGCCU
rnacentral:rRNA from 1 species